rnacentral:rRNA from 1 species
UACGUAGGGUGCGAGCGUUAAUCGGAAUUACUGGGCGUAAAGCGUGCGUAGGCGGUUCGUUAAGUCAGCUGUGAAAGCCCCGGGCUCAACCUGGGAAUUGCGGUUGAAACUGGCGAACUAGAAUCUGGCAGAGGGGGGUGGAAUUCCCAGUGUAGAGGUGAAAUUCGUAGAUAUUGGGAAGAACACCGGUGGCGAAGGCGGCGACCUGGUCCUUGACUGACGCUGAGGCGCGAAAGCGUGGGGAGCAAACAGG